rnacentral:rRNA from 1 species
UACGUAGGGUGCAAGCGUUGUCCGGAAUUACUGGGUGUAAAGGGAGUGCAGGCGGGAUGCCAAGUUGAAUGUGAAAACUAUGGGCUCAACCCAUAGAUUGCGUUCAAAACUGGCGUCCUUGAGUGAAGUAGAGGCAGGCGGAAUUCCUAGUGUAGCGGUGAAAUGCGUAGAUAUUAGGAGGAACACCAGUGGCGAAGGCGGCCUGCUGGGCUUUUACUGACGCUGAGGCUCGAAAGCGUGGGGAGCAAACAGG